rnacentral:misc_RNA from 1 species
GUGAAGAACGCAGCGAAACGCGAUAAGUAAUGUGAAUUGCAGAAUUCAGUGAAUCAUCGAAUCUUUGAACGCACAUUGCGCCCAUUAGUAUUCUAGUGGGCAUGCCUGUUCGAGCGUCAUUAAGUCCACUUAAGCCCUGCUUAGUGUUGGGAGACUGCUCCAGCGGUGCUACCCUGUAGCUACCCUGCAGCUCCUCAAAGACAGCGGCGGAGUUGUGGUAUCCUCUGAGCUUAGUAACUUGUUCUAGCUUUCGAGUACACCACUUCCCCUGCCGUAAAACCCUUAAUUUUUAAUGGUUGACCUCGGAUCAGGUAGGAAUACCCGCUGAACUUAAGCAUAUCAAUAAGCGGAGGA